UUCUUUGUCAGUGGGCAAACGUACAAAAUCAGCAGGGGAUCAAAUACUUGUUUCCCUCACUGUAUAGCCUCUGUGCCCCAGGCUGCCUUGCCACUUGUGUAAGCCUCUCCACAUGUCACCAGUCCUGUUCUGAGGGCUGCCAGUGUGACAAAGGCUACCUGCUGAGUGGUGACGCCUGCGUACCGUGGCCCAGUGCGGCUGCUCUUACGGGGGGCACUACUACAGGAAGAGGGAGACCUUCUACCCCCAGGGUCUGAAACAGUGUACCUGUGGGGAGAACGGAGCAGUCUCCUACCAGAAGGCCAAGUGUGGUGCCGGGGAGGCCUGUAAGGUGGUAAACGGGGUGUUGGGGUGCCACCCAAUUGGGCAGGCCACGGGUUUGGCGUCAGGCGACCUCCACUACAUGUCAUUCGGACGCAGGUUCGACUUCCAGGGCACCUGCGUCUACACGCUGGCCAAGGUGUGUGAAGACGACAAAGGCAGACUAACCGGCUUCACCGUGACUCAAGGGAAUGAAAAGUACGGCAAUGGGAAGGUGGCUGUCAACAUGAUCGCUGUGUCUGUCACAGCUAUGCCAUCAGCAUUGUGCAGGGGAUGAGCUGGAGAGUGAUUGUGGAUGAGGAGCUGGUGAACCUUCCUCUCUCUCAGUGCUGGCCGGGUUAUGGUGACCCAGGAGGGUUGUAACAUUAUCCUCCAGACAGACUUCGGCCUGCGGGUGCUCUAUGACACCGUGUACUACGUCAAAGUCAUCGUUCCCUGCACUUACCAGAGCAAGAUCUGUGGCAACAACAACACCAAGCCAGACGACGACUUCCGCCUACCAAAUGGUCAGCGUGGAUGAGUUUGGGCAGGCGUGGGUGAUGGACCGUCCUGGGGUAGUGUGUGGAGGCUGCGGCGGGCAGUGCCCAGUAUGUGAUCAUGCCAAGGCAUCCCAGUACGGCAGGCUAGACUCCUAUGGCAGCAGACAACGGGCCCUUCUAGGCCUGCCACAAUAAGGUGAACCCGGCAGCAUACGUGGCCCACUGUGUGUUUGACGUGUGUGCCAUGGACGGGGACAGAGGGACUCUGUGAGAGCAUCCAGGCUUACGCCAUCACUUGUCAGCACGCUGGGGCCCAGAUACAGGCCUGGAGGAGCAGCUCCUUCUGCUGUGAGUUUGAACCAUCAGAUGAGAUUACUGUAACCUGUUUACAUGUUUAAUUUCUACUGUUAGUUUCUUAUUUUUCAGAGUAAAUAACUCACGGACGCUAGAGAAGCUUAACCAAGUUUAAUUCUUCCCAAAGGGUCGUUACAGCUGUAUUCAGACAACAAAACAUUUCUCACCAUCACAGGUAUAUAUAGCCCCACUUUGGACACUCCUCCUUCUCUCCAAUCCUUACAUCUUAUUGUUCCACAGGAAGAGGGUAGUAAACCCUUAUUACUCCCUUCAGGGGAUCUGACCUGACCUCCUGACCUCAACCCCUCCUUCACCUAAUCCACAGAUGUCUAUAGCAAUCCUGUGAUCUCCUCCCAUCCACCCAGCACAGUCUUUCUACAGAUCUCACUCCUUUAUAUACUAUGCGUCUGAUCUAUCAUGUCUUUAAUAUCUCACAUUUUAGAAUCCAACACUACUAACCACCCUGCAGAAAAUUGUGAUGUAGAAGUGAUAUACUGUAUUAGUCUUGCAUAUUUAAAUCCACUGUCAACUCUGUCUUCUGCCCAGCUAACAGCCACUACGAGCUAUUUGCUGACACCUGUGGUACUAGCUGUGCCAGCCUGGUGGACUCCUUCACCUGCUCUUCUAGCUGCUUUGAGGGCUGCCAGUGCGACGUGGGCUUCGUCUCUGACGGCGACAAGUUUGUCUCCAUAGAUAUGUGUGGAUGCAUCUACGACGGCCUGUAUCUGAUGGUGAAGCGAUAGAGCACCCUACUAUGUCUAUUGUACAUGGUGAGGUGUGAGAAGCUGAUCUGUGCCAGCAGAGAGGUCUGUGGGGUGAAGGACGGGGUCAGAGGAUGCCAACUCAAACAGGGGCACUGCAUGGUCCACCCUGGUGCCCACUUCACCACCUUCGAUUGCAUGAAGGGGGUUAUGAGGUAGCCUCUGACCAGACCUCUGCCAGUGGUUCAGGGUGGUGGUGGACGUACACGUCUGCAGUAACGGAGCCUAUCCCAAUGUGGCUACAGUCUACGUCUUCUUCAAGUAUGUCACUGUCAACAGCCAGCACAACACCUGGGUGAACGGUCAGAAUGUGUCCCUUCCCAGCACUCCAGCCAAACAGCUGUCUGUCAGCAUCGCCAACAGGACAGUGGUCAUCGAGAGGGAUUCUGGUGUGCGUGUCACCUACUCCAUCUCCCAGGAGCUAUUCGUUACUCUCGACAACCUUGUAGCUUGCUACGGCAUAAUGUUAGCCAUUCCCCUCUGCUUCAGUGUGCUGUUGUCUUUGUUUCUCUGUUUUGCUACUUUGUGUGCUGACCCUGAUGAUAAAAUGGCACCAGAAGAAAUGGCAGCAGUUUUACAGGAGCCCAACCAAUUGUGCUAUUAUGUGUUUUUUAUGCAUUAUUUGUAACUUAUUUUGUACAUAAUAUUUCUGCAACCGUAUCUUACGGCAAAAAAGAGCUUCUGGAUAUCAGGACAGCAAUCACUCACCUCGGAUUAGACAAAGAUUUUUUCUACAACAAGCAGGACGCACAGGACAUUCUCCAAACACCCGACAGGGCUGACAUCCCCGUUAUUUGCAAGAGGAAGCGACGCAGGUACAGAGGACAAAGAGCCGGAUGCCUCGUCAGGACCUGCAGAAGGCGAGUAGGAAAGCUGCCGUUAACAUCAAUACUACUCGCCAACGUGCAAUCAUUGGACAAUAAAUUAGAUGAGGUACGAUCACGAAUAUCCUACCAACGGGACAUCAAAAACUGUAAUAUCCUAUGUUUCACGGAAUCGUGACUGAAUGACGACAUGGAUAUUCAGCUAGCGGGAUAUAUGCUGCACCUGCAAGAUAGAACAGGGGUAGACGAGGGGGGGUGGUCUGUGCAUAUUUGUAAACAACAGCUGGUGCACAAAAUCUAUGGAAGUCUCUAGAUUUUGCUCGCCUG